AACGCGAAGAACCUUACCAGGUCUUGACAUCCAAAGAACCUUUACGAAAGUAGGGGGUGCCUUCGGGAGCUUUGAGACAGGUGGUGCAUGGUUGUCGUCAGCUCGUGUCGUGAGAUGUUGGGUUGAGUCCCGCAACGAGCGCAACCCUUGUCGUUAAUUGCCAUCAUUUGGUUGGGCACUUUAACGAGACUGCCGGUGACAAACCGGAGGAAGGUGGGGAUGACGUCAAGUCCUCAUGGCCCUUAUGGGUAGGGCUUCACACGUCAUACAAUGGUCGGUACAGAGGGUUGCCAAACCGCGAGGUGGAGCCAAUCCCAGAAAGCCGAUCGUAGUCCGGAUUGCAGGCUGCAACUCGCCUGCAUGAAGUCGGAAUCGCUAGUAAUCGCGGAUCAGCAUGUCGCGGUGAAUACGUUCCCGGGUCUUGUACACACCG
rnacentral:rRNA from 1 species